AUUGAACGCUGGCGGCAGGCCUAACACAUGCAAGUCGAGCGGAGCGGCGGACGGGUGAGUAAUGCCUAGGAAUCUGCCUGGUCGUGGGGGAUACAUUUCGGAAACGGGCGCUAAUACCGAAUACUUUUAGAUAAGCCUAGGUGGGAUUAGCUAGUUGGUGGGGUAAAGGCCUACCAAGGCGACGAUCCGUAACUGGUCUGAGAGGAUGAUCAGUCACACUGGAACUGAGACACGGUCCAGACUCCUAUGGGAGGCAGCAGUGGGGAAUAUUGCACAAUGGGCGCAAGCCUGAUGCAGCCAUGCCGCGUGUAUGAAGAAGGCCUUCGGGUUGUAAAGUACUUUCGGCGGGGAGGCGUUUCCCGCAGAAGAAGCACCGGCUAACUCCGUGCCAGCAGCCGCGGUAAUAC
rnacentral:rRNA from 1 species